rnacentral:tRNA from 1 species
UCGGAGGUCGUCUAAUGGUAGGACACUAGGUUCUGGCCCUAGUAAUUGGGGUUCGAAUCCCUGCCUCCGAG